UUGACCUCAAAUCGGGUGAGACUACCCGCUGAACUUAAGCAUAUCAAUAAGCGGAGGAAAAGAAACUAACAAGGAUUCCCCUAGUAACUGCGAGUGAAGCGGGAAAAGCUCAAAUUUAAAAUCUGGUGGUCUUUGGCCAUCCGAGUUGUAAUUUAGAGAAGCGUCUUCCGCGCUGGACCGUGCACAAGUCUCCUGGAAUGGAGCGUCACAGAGGGUGAGAAUCCCGUCUUUGGCACGGACACACCAGGGCUUUUGCGAUGCGCUCUCGAAGAGUCGAGUUGUUUGGGAAUGCAGCUCAAAAUGGGUGGUGAACUCCAUCUAAAGCUAAAUAUUGGCGAGAGACCGAUAGCGAACAAGUACCGUGAGGGAAAGAUGAAAAGCACUUUGGAAAGAGAGUGAAACAGUACGUGAAAUUGUUGAAAGGGAAACGCUUGAAGUCAGUCGCGUCGACCGAGACUCAGCCUUGCCUUGGCUCGGUGUACUUCUCGGCCGACGGGUCAGCAUCAAUUUCGCCCCUUGGAUAAUGGCGAGGGAAAUGUGACACCUUUAUGGUGUGUUAUAGUCUCUCGUCGCAUGCAAGGGUUGGGAUUGAGGAACUCAGCACGCGCCUUUGGGUGUCGGGGUUUUGCCCACGAUACGUGCUUAGGAUGUUGGCGUAAUGGCUUUAAACGACCCGUC
rnacentral:rRNA from 2 species